GAUACCCUAUUAUUGAAAAUGUAAAUAUUUAAAUUAAUUAGUAUUUGUUAUGUUCAUAAAAAUUAAAGAAUUUGGCGGUAUUUUAGUCUAUUCAGAGGAACCUGUUCUAUAAAUGAUAUUCCACGAUUUAUAUUACCUAUUUUAUUAGUUUGUAUACCGCUGUAGUUGAAUAUUUUAUAAGAAUUUUAAUAUUCAUGAUUUUUGUUUAAAAAAAAAUCAAGUCAAGGUGUAGCUUAUAAAUAGGCAGUAAUGGGUUACAAUAAAUUUAUUUAUAUUGGAUUGUUUAAUUAAAUUUAAAUUUAAAAUUGGAUUUGAUAGUAAUUUUAAAUAAUUAUUUAAAAUGAUUAUAGCUCUAAAAUAU
rnacentral:rRNA from 1 species